AGAGUUUGAUCCUGGCUCAGAUUGAACGCUGGCGGCAGGCCUAACACAUGCAAGUCGAACGGUAGCACAGAGGAGCUUGCUCCUUGGGUGACGAGUGGCGGACGGGUGAGUAAUGUCUGGGAAACUGCCCGAUGGAGGGGGAUAACUACUGGAAACGGUAGCUAAUACCGCAUAACGUCGCAAGACCAAAGAGGGGGACCUUCGGGCCUCUUGCCAUCGGAUGUGCCCAGAUGGGAUUAGCUAGUAGGUGGGGUAACGGCUCACCUAGGCGACGAUCCCUAGCUGGUCUGAGAGGAUGACCAGCCACACUGGAACUGAGACACGGUCCAGACUCCUACGGGAGGCAGCAGUGGGGAAUAUUGCACAAUGGGCGCAAGCCUGAUGCAGCCAUGCCGCGUGUAUGAAGAAGGCCUUCGGGUUGUAAAGUACUUCCAGCGAGGAGGAAGGCGUUGUGGUUAAUAACCGCAGCGAUUGACGUUACUCGCAGAAGAAGCACCGGCUAACUCCGUGCCAGCAGCCGCGGUAAUACGGAGGGUGCAAGCGUUAAUCGGAAUUACUGGGCGUAAAGCGCACGCAGGCGGUCUGUCAAGUCGGAUGUGAAAUCCCCGGGCUCAACCUGGGAACUGCAUCCGAAACUGGCAGGCUAGAGUCUUGUAGAGGGGGGUAGAAUUCCAGGUGUAGCGGUGAAAUGCGUAGAGAUCUGGAGGAAUACCGGUGGCGAAGGCGGCCCCCUGGACAAAGACUGACGCUCACGUGCGAAAGCGUGGGGAGCAAACAGGGAUUAGAUACCCUGGUAGUCCACGCCGUAAACGAUGUCGACUUGGAGGUUGUGCCCUUGAGGCGUGGCUUCCGGAGCUAACGCGUUAAGUCGACCGCCUGGGGAGUACGGCCGCAAGGUUAAAACUCAAAUGAAUUGACGGGGGCCCGCACAAGCGGUGGAGCAUGUGGUUUAAUUCGAUGCAACGCGAAGAACCUUACCUACUCUUGACAUCCACGGAAUUUAGCAGAGAUGCUUUAGUGCCUUCGGGAACCGUGAGACAGGUGCUGCAUGGCUGUCGUCAGCUCGUGUUGUGAAAUGUUGGGUUAAGUCCCGCAACGAGCGCAACCCUUAUCCUUUGUUGCCAGCGAUUCGGUCGGGAACUCAAAGGAGACUGCCAGUGAUAAACUGGAGGAAGGUGGGGAUGACGUCAAGUCAUCAUGGCCCUUACGAGUAGGGCUACACACGUGCUACAAUGGCGCAUACAAAGAGAAGCGACCUCGCGAGAGCAAGCGGACCUCAUAAAGUGCGUCGUAGUCCGGAUUGGAGUCUGCAACUCGACUCCAUGAAGUCGGAAUCGCUAGUAAUCGUGGAUCAGAAUGCCACGGUGAAUACGUUCCCGGGCCUUGUACACACCGCCCGUCACACCAUGGGAGUGGGUUGCAAAAGAAGUAGGUAGCUUAACCUUCGGGAGGGCGCUUACCACUUUGUGAUUCAUGACUGGGGUGAAGUCGUAACAAGGUAACC
rnacentral:rRNA from 1 species